rnacentral:rRNA from 1 species
GGGUUGUGAGGUUAAGCGACUAAGCGUACACGGUGGAUGCCCUGGCAGUCAGAGGCGAUGAAGGACGUGCUAAUCUGCGAUAAGCGUCGGUGAGGUGAUAUGAACCGUUAUAACCGGCGAUUUCCGAAUGGGGAAACCCAGUGUGUUUCGACACACUAUCAUUAACUGAAUCCAUAGGUUAAUGAGGCGAACCGGGGGAACUGAAACAUCUAAGUACCCCGAGGAAAAGAAAUCAACCGAGAUUCCCCCAGUAGCGGCGAGCGAACGGGGAGCAGCCCAGAGCCUGAAUCAGUGUGUGUGUUAGUGGAAGCGUCUGGAAAGGCGCGCGAUACAGGGUGACAGCCCCGUACACAAAAAUGCACAUGCUGUGAGCUCGAUGAGUAGGGCGGGACACGUGGUAUCCUGUCUGAAUAUGGGGGGACCAUCCUCCAAGGCUAAAUACUCCUGACUGACCGAUAGUGAACCAGUACCGUGAGGGAAAGGCGAAAAGAACCCCGGCGAGGGGAGUGAAAAAGAACCUGAAACCGUGUACGUACAAGCAGUGGGAGCCUCUUUAUGGGGUGACUGCGUACCUUUUGUAUAAUGGGUCAGCGACUUAUAUUCUGUAGCAAGGUUAACCGAAUAGGGGAGCCGAAGGGAAACCGAGUCUUAACUGGGCGUUAAGUUGCAGGGUAUAGACCCGAAACCCGGUGAUCUAGCCAUGGGCAGGUUGAAGGUUGGGUAACACUAACUGGAGGACCGAACCGACUAAUGUUGAAAAAUUAGCGGAUGACUUGUGGCUGGGGGUGAAAGGCCAAUCAAACCGGGAGAUAGCUGGUUCUCCCCGAAAGCUAUUUAGGUAGCGCCUCGUGAAUUCAUCUCCGGGGGUAGAGCACUGUUUCGGCAAGGGGGUCAUCCCGACUUACCAACCCGAUGCAAACUGCGAAUACCGGAGAAUGUUAUCACGGGAGACACACGGCGGGUGCUAACGUCCGUCGUGAAGAGGGAAACAACCCAGACCGCCAGCUAAGGUCCCAAAGUCAUGGUUAAGUGGGAAACGAUGUGGGAAGGCCCAGACAGCCAGGAUGUUGGCUUAGAAGCAGCCAUCAUUUAAAGAAAGCGUAAUAGCUCACUGGUCGAGUCGGCCUGCGCGGAAGAUGUAACGGGGCUAAACCAUG